GUGGGGAAUAUUGCACAAUGGGGGAAACCCUGAUGCAGCGACGCCGCGUGAGCGAAGAAGUAUUUCGGUAUGUAAAGUUCUAUCAGCAGGGAAGAAGAAAUGACGGUACCUGACUAAGAAGCACCGGCUAAAUACGUGCCAGCAGCCGCGGUAAUACGUAUGGUGCAAGCGUUAUCCGGAUUUACUGGGUGUAAAGGGAGCGCAGGCGGAAGGCUAAGUCUGAUGUGAAAGCCCGGGGCUCAACCCCGGUACUGCAUUGGAAACUGGUCAUCUAGAGUGUCGGAGGGGUAAGUGGAAUUCCUAGUGUAGCGGUGAAAUGCGUAGAUAUUAGGAGGAACACCAGUGGCGAAGGCGGCUUACUGGACGAUAACUGACGCUGAGGCUCGAAAGCGUGGGGAGCAAACAGGAUUAGAAACCCGUGUAGUCC
rnacentral:rRNA from 1 species